rnacentral:rRNA from 1 species
GAAAGUAAAGAAGGGCGCAUGGCGGAUGCCUUGGCUCUCGGAGGCGAUGAAGGACGUGAUAAGCUGCGAUAAGCUUUGGGGAGGUGCAAAUGACCUUUGAUCCAGAGAUUUCCGAAUGGGACAACCCAAUAUCUUGAAGAGGUAUUAUCCAACUUUGUUGGAGGCUAACGCAGGGAACUGAAACAUCUUAGUACCUGCAGGAAAAGAAAAUAAACAAUGAUUCCCCCAGUAGUGGCGAGCGAACGGGGAACAGCCCAAACCAUCCAUGUUACGGCAUGGGUGGGGUUGUAGGACUACGCCGUUGCAUGAAGACAUCAGAGAAGAACUUUCUGGAAAGAAAGACCAUAGAGCAUGACAGUUGCGUAUUCGAAUGUUGUCGAAGCAUAGUAGUAUCCUGAGUAGCGCGGAGCACGAGGAAUUCUGCGUGAAUCUGCCGGGACCAUCCGGUAAGGCUAAAUACUCCCGAGAGACCGAUAGCGAACCAGUACCGUGAGGGAAAGGUGAAAAGCACUUCGAACAGAAGAGUGAAAUAGUUCCUGAAACCGUGCGCCUACAAGCGGUCGGAGCUCGUUAAUGAGUGACGGCGUGCCUUUUGCAUAAUGAACCUACGAGUUGCCUUUGCCGGCAAGGUUAAGUGUGACGACACACGUAUCCGAAGCGAAAGCGAGUCUGAAGAGGGCGUAUAGUCGGCAGUGGCAGACGCGAAACCAAGUGAUCUACCCUUGGCCAGGUUGAAGGCUGGGUAACACCAGCUGGAGGACCGCACCAAUAAGCGUUGAAAAGCUUCUGGAUGAGCUGAGGGUAGGGGUGAAAGGCUAAUCAAACUUGGAGAUAGCUCGUACUCCCCGAAAUGCAUUUAGGUGCAGCCUUGCGGGUUACUGAUGUGAGGUAGAGCGACUGAUAAGAUGCGAGGGCUUCACCGCCUAUCAAGUCUUGACAAACUCCGAAUGCGCAUCAGUUCUACCGCAGGAGUGAGGGCAUGGGUGCUAAGGUCCGUGCCCGAGAGGAGAAGAAUCCGGACCACCUGCUAAGGUCCCGAAAUGACAGCUAAGUUAAACUAACGAAGUCUGACUGCUAAGACAGCUAGGAUGUUGGCUUGGAAGCAGCCAUUCAUUUAAAGAGUGCGUAACAGCUCACUAGUCGAGGAGUCGGGCGUGGAUAAUAAUCGGGUAUCAAGUUGUCUACCGAAGCAGUGGGAUCAUUAAUAUGAUCGGUAGGGGAGCAUUCCAGUCAGCGUCGAAGGCGUACCGUGAGGUAUUCUGGAGCGUCUGGAAAAGCAAAUGUAGGUAUAAGUAACGAUAAAGGGGGCGGGAAACCCCCUCGCCGAAAGACUAAGGUUUCCUGAUCAACGCUAAUCGGAUCAGGGUCAGUCGGGUCCUAAGGCUCAGCCGAACGGCGAUGCCGAUGGCAGAAACGGUUAAUAUUCCGUUACUACCUUCAGGAGUGACGUGGAGACGCAGUAGUGACAGUGCCGCCAUCUGACGGAAUAGAUGGUUGAAGGGUGUAGGAGUCGAUCAUGGCAGGCAAAUCCACCAUGAGAUCCGAACCUGAUAGUAUGCCGCGUCCUUCGGGACAAGGCAAUAGUGCGCGUAAGCAUGCUGCCGAGAAAAUCCGCUAAACUUAAUCCUGUAGGUACCCGUACCGCAAACGGACACACGUAGUCGGGAUGAAUAUUCUAAGGCGCUUGAGUGAUUCACGGUUAAGGAACUAGGCAAACUGACCCUGUAACUUCGGGAUAAAGGGUCCCUACCCUUUUAUGGGAGGGCGCAGAGAAUCGGUCCAGGCAACUGUUUAACAAAAACACAGGGCUGUGCCAAAUCGAAAGAUCCAGUAUACAGCCUGACACCUGCCCGGUGCUGGAAGGUUAAGAGGAGAUGUCAUCGAUAAGAGAAGCGUUGAAUUGAAGCCCCAGUAAACGGCGGCCGUAACUAUAACGGUCCUAAGGUAGCGAAAUUCCUUGUCGGGUAAGUUCCGACCUGCACGAAUGGUGUAAUGAUCUGGACGCUGUCUCAACCGUGAGCUCAGUGAAAUUGUAGUAUCGGUGAAGAUGCCGAUUACCCGCGAUGGGACGAAAAGACCCCGUGAACCUUUACUAUAGCUUAUCAUUGAAUCUGGGCACGUGAUGUGUAGGAUAGGUCGGAGGCUUUGAAGCAGGUACGCCAGUAUUUGUGGAGCCGCUGUUGAAAUACGACCCUUUAUUUGUUUGGAUUCUAACCCGUGGAACGGGGACAUUGAUUGGUGGGUAGUUUGACUGGGGUGGUCGCCUCCAAAAGCGUAACGGAGGCUUCUA